ensembl:lncRNA
GGCUGUUUGGUGCGGGCCGGAUGUGCGUCAUCUGUUCUGUGCCUGCGCUCUUCCUGUUUACCGGCAUUCAACAGAGGUCUGUGGUUAAAACACAGCCGUUUGGGCAUUUUAACACCGCUUGUGUCAUUUUGUGGGGCUUUGCGUACACUGGAGAGUCUAUUGUAAACAACCGUUACGUGCGGUCUGGCUCGUUACACUGCCUAGUCCCAGGAGCUGUGUGUCCGACGGCAGUGAGGCUUUCCUUCACCGUGUGCUGUGUUAUGCUGUGUGAGCACCACUGAUAAAAUCACGGGUAUUGGAGUGAGUGUGUGUGUGCACUUAUGAGUGUGUGUGUGUGUGUGUGCACUUAGUGUGAUUCUCCUCUUUUGCUCCCUCUCUUAGCCCAUUUGAUGCCAAUAGGCUACAGCUCCGAAGUAAAUGUGAAUCCUUAUUGUGGAUUGUGAUUUCCAGCUUAGUAAUUGGCUGGGUGACUAUUAUUCCUGCAUUUUAAACUUUUGUACUAAUAAACAAACUCUAUUUUGCUACCCACGUCUCUUGCUCAUUUU